rnacentral:rRNA from 1 species
GACGAACGCUGGCGGCGUGCCUAAUACAUGCAAGUCGAGCGAAUCUGAGGGAGCUUGCUCCCAAAGAUUAGCGGCGGACGGGUGAGUAACACGUGGGUAACCUGCCUGUAAGAUUGGGAUAACUCCGGGAAACCGGAGCUAAUACCGGAUAACAUUUUGAACCGCAUGGUUCAAAAUUGAAAGGCGGCUUUUAGCUGUCACUUACAGAUGGACCCGCGGCGCAUUAGCUAGUUGGUGAGGUAACGGCUCACCAAGGCAACGAUGCGUAGCCGACCUGAGAGGGUGAUCGGCCACACUGGGACUGAGACACGGCCCAGACUCCUACGGGAGGCAGCAGUAGGGAAUCUUCCGCAAUGGACGAAAGUCUGACGGAGCAACGCCGCGUGAACGAUGAAGGCCUUCGGGUCGUAAAGUUCUGUUGUUAGGGAAGAACAAGUACCAGAGUAACUGCUGGUACCUUGACGGUACCUAACCAGAAAGCCACGGCUAACUACGUGCCAGCAGCCGCGGUAAUACGUAGGUGGCAAGCGUUGUCCGGAAUUAUUGGGCGUAAAGCGCGCGCAGGCGGUUUCUUAAGUCUGAUGUGAAAGCCCACGGCUCAACCGUGGAGGGUCAUUGGAAACUGGGGAACUUGAGUGCAGAAGAGGAGAGUGGAAUUCCACGUGUAGCGGUGAAAUGCGUAGAGAUGUGGAGGAACACCAGUGGCGAAGGCGACUCUCUGGUCUGUAACUGACGCUGAGGCGCGAAAGCGUGGGGAGCGAACAGGAUUAGAUACCCUGGUAGUCCACGCCGUAAACGAUGAGUGCUAAGUGUUAGAGGGUUUCCGCCCUUUAGUGCUGCAGCAAACGCAUUAAGCACUCCGCCUGGGGAGUACGGUCGCAAGACUGAAACUCAAAGGAAUUGGACGGGGGCCCGCACAAGCGGUGGAGCAUGUGGUUUAA